GCCCUGGUAGUGUAGCCUGGCAUGGCACCCACUAAAAGGGUGCUGCAGCAACUAUCACGCAGCCCUGUCACGGCUGCGACCCGGGUUCAAAUCCCGGCCAGGGCG
rnacentral:tRNA from 1 species